rnacentral:ncRNA from 1 species
UUAAAGACUAUGACGGUGCACAGUAGAGUAUUUAUUUACAUGCAGAGAGAGAGGGUCACUGGCUGAAAGCCUUCUUAUGUUCAGAUAGUUACUUGAAAUUCACACCUAAGUUGCAUUCCUGAAGGAGUUGGAGUAGGGAAUGACGUGACUGCUCGUUACGCAGACUUAAGUGCCAGAUAGUUUAUCUGGAAUUAGGGUGGUACCGCGAUGACUUCGUCCCUUUG